CUAGAUCUGCCAACUUGUGCCUAUAAUGGUCGGUGUUACUUGCAGAUGGAUGGACCAUGUGCUCUUCAAAAGUAUAAUUGCUUGAAUCCAAAAAGAGCUUUCGAACAAGUUGAUCAAUACAGAUGCAAGCAGGAUUCAGCACCACAGUGCCAAAUUGGAGAUUAUUAAAUUUUUAAAAUUUUGAAAAAAUUAAAGACUGAAUAAAAACGUUUAAAAAAUU